UUUUUCAGAUUUUUUUGGACUACGUACGCAUCUACUUUCAUUUUUGCUAGUUUGGUUGGUUACAUUUCGCCCAUUGUAAGAAUGAUUGACUGACUUCCAUUUGCUAUGUGAGGGUUAAGGUUCAACCAAUGGGUUAGGGUGAGCCCAGCGUUGGCCUAACCCUCACCCGUUGUUCGAACUACUAUCUAUCAUGUUUCAUUGUGCUGCCAAUGUUGUCUAACUAACUAACUAACUCCCAGCAAUGUAUUGUUCUUAGUCUGAGUUUAGAAAUGUCCCAGCUUCCUGGAAUGCAUCCUGUCCGACGGGAUAUUGUCUCGGUGUCCAGUUUGUGCACUCCAAUUUCUAUUUGCUGGAGUGACACUCGCACACACAGAGAACUAUGUUGAAUCUGCCUACAGUUGGCUGCACAAAUGCCCUCCGGGCUGUGACCAGAAGAGGAGAAGCUGGACAAGGUGACUUCAACCCCAGGCCCCCCCUGACCGUCCAGAAAAUAGCUCCUCGUGCUGGAGGAAUUCAACUGCGAGCUAAUUUCAGCGCAUCGAUUUCACACCGAGAAGGCGUGACGACGACACGCGGUGACGAGAGCGGAGGCUCGUGUUUACCCGGAGACCGAAGGUCAAUGAGCGUCGCGGUGAUUGAAGUCCGCCUUGUGCCGGAUGCAGACAAAGCAGCCUGGUAACAUCCAGAUUCUUCUCGGAGGGACAUCCGGCCCGACCAGUGACCCCGGCACAGAUGGAAAGACGACUCUGAAUUACAUCAGAGCGUCAGCAGUUUUCCUAUUAAAAUCAUCCAACUUUGACAAUACCAUAGACAAAAAAGGCUUCCCAAUUGAGCAUGAACUGUUUUCGACUGUCUAUGACACCUAAAGAAAACCCGCAUUUUCGCCACGCUUGCAAAAGUUGGCAACCGGUCCGGGACCCACCGGGACCCACCCCUCCUCAACCGAGACCGACGCCAACUCCGGCAGUUUGGAAGGCUUUUUUCUUCUUCCUGUUUUUUUUUUCAGGUCACAAAACGGCGGCAACGGGAGUUUGGAACGAGAACAGCUGCGAGGAAGCCGAGACUUCUCAACAAAGAGACGCGUGCGGCGGGGGGAGCGAGGUGGCGUGGCGGGGGAGUUGCGCCGUUUAAUGCAGAGAAGAUUGAAGAUGACUGGCAGCCGGCGGCCCAACACCUGCUGCCGCCGCCGUCGGAAUGCUGACUGACAGGCAGAGGGGAGAUGAGGAGAAGCUCCUGCGUAAGAGGGACGCAACUCUCUCAACUUGACUCGACAUCGAACGGAACAACUGUAGCCGAACUGCUCCGCUGGCGCAGUCUAUUUUCCAGCUGUGCGAGCAAAAUGACUUCCACCAAGGAAACAUCUGUGCUUCUUCCAUACUACGCCACACACCCUCCUUCUCCUCGAAAACGCAUUUUGGGAAAUGGGAGAUCCAUCCAGAUGGUGCGCCAGGAUCAAUUUCUGGGUCACAAACAGGAGGACACUGGAGACGCGGAGCUUCUUCUUUGCUCUUAAUUCUUCUCGGAGUAACUCUGCAUAUUUGUCAAAAUCUUGUUUUUGUUGGCUCGCGCUGCUAACUGAUGGCACUGCGAGCGAGACGAUACAAAAGCAAAUUGUCCCUGAGUGUGUUCCCUUGUUUGUUCCUUUUGGACUUUGAUAACCAUCUUCUCUAAAACAGCAUGACAUUUGGUAUAUGGCCAACAAUCACCGCAACGAUGAACCAAGACUUGUUAAAAAGAAAGAACGGUGUCUGGGUCUUUUGAGUCAAAACAUGAGGUCCACUUGCACAACCUAACGAUUCUCUACUUGACUUUUAGUCACUCGUCGUUCUCCCGCCGGCUCGUUCCGUGCGGCGUUUUACCGAGGCCGUCCUUAACGCCCGGAACGCGAGUCCUGCGAUGGGCACCCGCGGCCACGCGGGACGCCUCGAUGGCGAGAAAACCCUCUCGGCUGUGUGCUUUGCUGUUCUCUGGCGAGUCAAUUAAGCAGCAAAUGACCCCUGGAAUCCACUUUAAUAAGCCCAGCUCCACAGAAUUGACUUUAAUACAUCACGAUGAUGACAGUAAUUGGAUUGGACGCUUGAUUGCAUUUUUUUUCCAGCGCUGUAAAAUGCUACUAUGGGCAACAUAACAUAAAAAAGAAGUGCUGCUGGUAAGAGGAGAUAUAAAAAUCAUUAUUUCCCAUAAAAAGUGUCUCAGGUGGACUGUCACGGAGAGGCGACUGCUCCGAAACAUCGUUGUCAUCACAAAAAAAAAAAAGUCUCGUCGUCUUAAAGACAGAAUUGUUCUGAGCUUUGCUUGUGUUGUUUAGGAUGAGCAUGAAUUUCAUGAGAGAAUAAAAGUAGAAUGGAAGACAUUUGCUUGAAACAUGAACCCUAACUUGAAACCCAACCCUCGCUUAAACCCCUAACUUUUGUUUCAAAACCUACCACGUAGUUGCAUUCACUCCGUUUUACUCUAGCCGGCGUGGUUUCUCAUAUGCGCUGUGAUCGCCGUGGUAAAUAUUUCAUCGUUUGAAAAUGUUGCCGGCCGUCCACAGCAAUCACGGUCUAUCGUGUUUGCCCAUCUUAGCCAAACCUCCACGGUGGGCUUUCUUGGCCGACGGGAACUUAUCGGGCCUUGAGCCGGGGUUAGACCGAAAGCACGCCCGACUACCACCUCCCACCCACUGCUGCCUAUAAUUGCUUUUAAGCUUUGACAAUGAUAAAAACAACAACAACAACAAGAAAAAGCCGGCGGCUCUGCAGUCCUGUCAGCCAAUUUCGGGGUUGUUGGGAAGAUUCCCCGAGCGCCUAUUCCUGCUUUUCUGCUGCCGCAGGCUCCAAGUGGGCAUGUCAAUGCUGAUUUAAAUAAGUGUUAGUCAGCGCAAGCAGCGGCAGUGGAAAAUCAAAAUACACCACAGAAGGGGGGAGGGGGGGGGGGGGGGGCUUCAUCAUUAAGAUGCAAAAAGAAAAUUAGCCGUCCAUCACGCUGACUUACUCGGAUGUUUGACUGCUGGCCCCCGUCAUCUGUCCAGAUUCGAUGAUGCUUCUUUGAAGUAAACAAACACUGCUUUCCACUCCAACGGACGCUCGGCCUUCCCGUCUUGACAUUCUGUUGCUGAUAUCGCUGUUACCAUGACAAUCAGCCAUCUCGUUUCGAAGCGUUAGGAUGUGUCGACAGCCGUCUGUCGAUAAAGUGACGCAAUAUCGGCGACAUUUGCAGUUGGUGCAACUGUGUCAUGGAUAGCGGGAGAAAAAAUAAAUAAAACA